rnacentral:rRNA from 1 species
AGAGUUUGAUCCUGGCUCAGAUUGAACGCUGGCGGCAUGCCUUACACAUGCAAGUCGAACGGCAGCACGGGUGCUUGCACCUGGUGGCGAGUGGCGAACGGGUGAGUAAUACAUCGGAACGUACCUUAUCGUGGGGGAUAACGCAGCGAAAGUUGCGCUAAUACCGCAUACGCCCUGAGGGGGAAAGCGGGGGACCGUAAGGCCUCGCGCGAUUAGAGCGGCCGAUGUCUGAUUAGCUUGUUGGUGAGGUAAAAGCUCACCAAGGCGAUGAUCAGUAGCUGGUCUGAGAGGACGAUCAGCCACACUGGGACUGAGACACGGCCCAGACUCCUACGGGAGGCAGCAGUGGGGAAUUUUGGACAAUGGGGGCAACCCUGAUCCAGCAAUGCCGCGUGAGUGAAGAAGGCCUUCGGGUUGUAAAGCUCUUUUGUCAGGGAAGAAACAGCAGCUCUAACACAGUCUGCGAAUGACGGUACCUGAAGAAUAAGCACCGGCUAACUACGUGCCAGCAGCCGCGGUAAUACGUAGGGUGCGAGCGUUAAUCGGAAUUACUGGGCGUAAAGCGUGCGCAGGCGGUUAUACAAGACAGGCGUGAAAUCCCCGGG